UAUUCCAAUAAAGAAGGAUAUCGGAUUAUAUUUAUCCGAUAAAGAAGGAUAUUAGAGGUGAGAUACUCUAAUAAAGAAGAUGGUACCACAUGCAUUAGAGGUGUCUAGAGGACAUAGCAUGAAUGUGAAGCAUUAGAUUGCAUUAGGGAUUAUGUGUGCAUUUUAUGAUAAAUGAUGUUUGACACGUACUUGGUAAAUGUUGAUUGUUAAUCCGCAUGUGAGGAGCAGAGUCCGUCAUGACUAUAAAAUGAACAACGCAGGGUCGGUCAUGACCAUAAUCUGAACAAUGUAUUUGUGAUGUUAGAUUACAUUAGGAACUUUAUGUAUAUCCCUAUUUGUAAUUGAGUUAUGUGAUAAUUGUUGAUGUUUUGGUAUUGUCCGAUACGACGUGAAACUAUAUGUUU
rnacentral:lncRNA from 1 species